rnacentral:misc_RNA from 1 species
UUUCCGUAGGUGAACCUGCGGAAGGAUCAUUAUUGAAAGCAACCUUGGAGUGUAGAUGUGAUGCUGGCCCUUAUGGGCAUGUGCUCCGUCUGCCUUCAAUAUCCGCUCAACCCCUUCUUGUGCACUUUAAACUGGGCAGCAUCUUGAGCAAUUGAGAUGCUGUUCAUGUCUACACAAACCACUUUAAACAUUUUAUUGGAAUGUACUUUGAGUAUCGAGGAAAUAAUACAACUUUCAACAACGGAUCUCUUGGCUCUCGCAUCGAUGAAGAACGCAGC